AAAACUGAAAAACUUGGACUAUUUGUAACAACACAGUGAGAACCAUUUAGAAGUGGUAUCAUGAGACAAAGCUCUCCUGAUGCCAUCUCUCGGUUCUUACAGCAGCAUGUGUUUAUCAAUAUUCUCUGGUUUUCCUCCCUCUUCCCUCCUCCCCCCUUCCCCUCCCACCCUGAUCUCUUUCUGUCUAGCAAUAGGCUUAAAUGUAAUUUCAUUUUUAGCUUUUAAAAAGUAACUUAUUUCUCUUUCUUUUGUUUUUAUUUUUUAUUUGAGUUAACGACCAUACAGAUGUAUUUUGGCGAUGGGGAAACUUAUAUACAACAUACAUUACCUCACUGAAAUGGAAACCUAUCCUGUUAUUUACUUUGUCAAAUGUAGUCAUGCUGAUUUUUGCUGUCUUAGAUGACCCACAAAUAGUUUAUAGAUUCAGCUAGAUUAGUUUAGCUGAAAGUUAAGUGAUUUGCAGCUUCAGAAUUUAUGAGUUGCACUUCUGCUGUUGGAUGAGAUGAUAGUCUGUGUUUCACUCCUGUUCUCAACAGCCUUCUCAGAGAAAUAAGGAGGACAAAUAGUGUGAAUCAACAUGAAUAAGUGUAAAAGAUGACAGAAUUUUCAUAAGAAUGGGUUUGAGGAAUUAUUUAAAUUAUCUUUAAAGAGAUGCUAUCAAUUCAGAGUAGACAUUAAAUUUAGAUAUUUUUAAAACAAAAAUAAUAUAAUCAAGCCUGAUGAAAGGGCAUGUUUACAAUGAGCUAAACUGAUAGAGCUGAGAAGUGAAAACCCAUAAGAGGAGAUGGACUAUCCAAGUUUUUUCUCAACUUUGGCAGAAACAUGAAACAGAUAAAUGGGGUCCAUAUUCUGUGCCUGUCUCUGCAUCUCUUCUAUUUUCUACACUCUCCUUUUACUCAGGUGAGUAAAGCUGUGGACAUUAGUCCAACUGAAAAUCUGCAUUGGUGUACCCAGUACAGCAUCUUUUCCUUAUUAUAUUCUAUUCUUAGUCAUUUGAAACCUCAUAAAUCCAUAGCAACUCCAUAUCCAUUGUAA
rnacentral:lncRNA from 1 species